rnacentral:rRNA from 1 species
CAAUAGCGUAUAUUAAAGUUGUUGCAGUUAAAAAGCUCGUAGUUGGAUUUCUGAUCGAGACAUCAGGUCGGGUCCGAGAGGAUCAUGUACUUUGAUUUUGUUUUGAUCAUCCUUGGGGAGAGCAUUUCUGGCAUUCAGUUGUCGGGAUUGGGAUCCUCAUCGUUUACUGUGAAAAAAUUAGAGUGUUCAAAGCAGGCCUCGGCCUCUGAAUACAUUAGCAUGGAAUAAUAAGAUAGGACUUUGGUGGUCUAUUUUGUUGGUUUGCACGCCAAAGUAAUGAUUAAUAGGGAUAGUUGGGGGUAUUCGUAUUCAAUUGUCAGAGGUGAGAUUCUUGGAUCUAUGGAAGACGAACUACUGCGAAAGCAUUUACCAAGGAUGUUUUCAUUAA